rnacentral:rRNA from 1 species
CAGUCGCCGCGGGAAUACAGAGGGUGCGAGCGUUAAUCGGAUUUACUGGGCGUAAAGCGUGCGUAGGCGGCUUCUUAAGUCGGAUGUGAAAUCCCUGAGCUUAACUUAGGAAUUGCAUUCGAUACUGGGAAGCUAGAGUAUGGGAGAGGAUGGUAGAAUUCCAGGUGUAGCGGUGAAAUGCGUAGAGAUCUGGAGGAAUACCGAUGGCGAAGGCAGCCAUCUGGCCUAAUACUGACGCUGAGGUACGAAAGCAUGGGGAGCAAACAGGAUUAGAUACCCCUGUAGUCCCUGUCUCUUAUAA